rnacentral:rRNA from 1 species
GAGUUUGAUCAUGGCUCAGGAUGAACGCUAGCGGCAGGCCUAACACAUGCAAGUCGAGGGGUAGAGGAAGCUUGCUUCCUUGAGACCGGCGCACGGGUGCGUAACGCGUAUGCAAUCUGCCUUAUACUAAGGGAUAGCCCAGAGAAAUUUGGAUUAAUACCUUAUAGUAUAUAGAUGUGGCAUCACAUUUAUAUUAAAGAUUUAUCGGUAUAAGAUGAGCAUGCGUCCCAUUAGCUAGUUGGUAUGGUAACGGCAUACCAAGGCAAUGAUGGGUAGGGGUCCUGAGAGGGAGAUCCCCCACACUGGUACUGAGACACGGACCAGACUCCUACGGGAGGCAGCAGUGAGGAAUAUUGGUCAAUGGGCGCAAGCCUGAACCAGCCAUGCCGCGUGCAGGAUGACGGUCCUAUGGAUUGUAAACUGCUUUUGUACGGGAAGAAACAACUCUUCGUGAAGAGUCUUGACGGUACCGUAAGAAUAAGGAUCGGCUAACUCCGUGCCAGCAGCCGCGGUAAUACGGAGGAUCCAAGCGUUAUCCGGAAUCAUUGGGUUUAAAGGGUCCGUAGGCGGUUUUAUAAGUCAGUGGUGAAAUCCGGCAGCUCAACUGUCGAACUGCCAUUGAUACUGUAAGACUUGAAUUAUUAUGAAGUAACUAGAAUAUGUAGUGUAGCGGUGAAAUGCUUAGAUAUUACAUGGAAUACCAAUUGCGAAGGCAGGUUACUAAUAAUAUAUUGACGCUGAUGGACGAAAGCGUGGGGAGCGAACAGGAUUAGAUACCCUGGUAGUCCACGCCGUAAACGAUGGAUACUAGCUGUUCGGUAGCAAUACUGAGUGGCUAAGCGAAAGUGNUNAGUAUCCCACCUGGGGAUGACGAACGCAAGUUUGAAACUCAAAGGAAUUGACGGGGGCCCGCACAAGCGGUGGAGCAUGUGGUUUAAUUCGAUGAUA